AAAUCUCCACAUGAAUGUUUAUAGAAACUUUAUCCAUAGUUUUCAAAAACAGGAAGCAACCAAGAUGACCUUCAAUGGCACGUGGCUUGCUGGAUCUCAGUUCCCUGACCAGGGAUUGUACCCAGACCACGGUAGUGAAAGUCCAGAAUCCUAACUACUAGAUCACCAGGGAACUUCCUUAAGGAAGUUCUAUUUAUGGUCAUUCUUCAUUCUGCUAGCAACCCAGUA